rnacentral:rRNA from 1 species
UACGUAGGUGGCAAGCGUUGUCCGGAUUUAUUGGGCGUAAAGCGCGCGCAGGCGGCUUCUUAAGUCUGAUGUGAAAGCCCACGGCUCAACCGUGGAGGGUCAUUGGAAACUGGGGAGCUUGAGUGCAGAAGAGGAGAGUGGAAUUCCAUGUGUAGCGGUGAAAUGCGUAGAUAUAUGGAGGAACACCAGUGGCGAAGGCGGCUCUCUGGGCCAUUACUGACACUGAGGUGCGAAAGCGUGGGUAGCAAACAGG